rnacentral:lncRNA from 1 species
AAAAUCUAUAAAAUUCGUAAAACGUUAUUUAAAUUUAAAAAUCCAAAUUUAGAUACUAGAUUUAAUACGGAAAAUUAAUUAUUGGUAAUUAUUUAAUUAAAAACAUUUGUCUUGAAAUCGCAGCGUAUGGAUGAAAAAAUAUGGUUCAAAAUAAUACCUUAUUUUCGAAUAAGUGUUGUGAGUAAGUGACGCAGGCAACCGAGAUAGGAGAAUUGACUCGGAGAUCAAGAUGAUAAUCAGAAUUAAUAUAUUUAUUAAAAUAGUGAGAAAAUAAAAAUACCAUUCAACAAAAGAAUAAACACAACUAACCUUAUCAGCUCUAUAAGUAAAUGAGAUAUAUAAAAAAUAAGAAGAGAGUUACAAUUUUAAUUCUUGAGUUAGGAGAGAGCUGUUCGAUUCUGAGUUGUGUGGACAUACCUGGAAGAGAAUGGUAUUUAUUUUUCGAUCUUCUUUCUUUCGGCCAUGUGUUUUUUAGGACGAAUGCCAUCUUCGCUCCUUCAUCUUGGUCGGAUGACACCGACGGGAAAAAACAAGGCUUCCCUUUUUCUUCUACAUUUUCGAAAAGAUCAACCUCUCUUUCUAUCACUUGUUCGUCC